UCCGAGUUGUAAUUUGCAGAGGGUGCUUUGGCAUAGGCGGCGGUCUAAGUUCAGUGGAACAGGACAUCGCAGAGGGUGAGAAUCCCGUAUGUGGGCGCCUGCCUUUGCCGUGUAAAGCCCCUUCGACGAGUCGAGUUGUUUGGGAAUGCAGCUCUAAAUGGGAGGUAAAUUUCUUCUAAAGCUAAAUACUGGCCAGAGACCGAUAGCGCACAAGUAGAGUGAUCGAAAGAUGAAAAGUACUUUGGAAAGAGAGUCAAAAAGCACGUGAAAUUGUUGAAAGGGAAGCGCUUGCAGCCAGACUUGCCCGUAGUUGCUCACCCAGGCUUUUGCCCGGGGCACUCUUCUGCGGGCAGGCCAGCAUCAGUUUGGGCGGUUGGAUAAAGGCCUCUGUCACGUAUCUCUCUUCGGGGAGACCUUAUAGGGGAGGCGUAAUGCGACCAGCCCGGACUGAGGUCCGCGCAUCUGCUAUGAUGCUGGCGUAAUGGCUGUAAGCGGCCCGUCUUGAAACACGGACCAAUGAGUCUAACAUCUAUGCGAGUGUUUGGGUGUCAAGCCCGGGCGCGCAAUGAAAGUGAACGGAGGUGUGAACCCCUCGGGGUGCACCAUCGACCGAUCCUGAAGUCUUCGGAUGGAUUUGAGUAAGAGCAUAGCUGUUGGGACCCGAAAGAUGGUGAACUAUGCUUGAAUAGGGUGAAGCCAGAGGAAACUCUGGUGGAGGCUCGCAGCGGUUCUGACGUGCAAAUCGAUCGUCAAAU
rnacentral:rRNA from 1 species